rnacentral:rRNA from 1 species
ACAGUCACACAUUAGAUACCCGGGUAGUUCUAGCCGUAAACGAUGCUCACUAGGUGUAGGGAGUGAUAAACUCUCUGUGCCGGAGAGAAGUUGUUAAGUCUGCUACUUGGGGAGUACGUCCGCAAGGAUGAAACUUAAAGGAAUUGGCGGGGGAGCACCGCAACGGGAGGAGCGUGCGGUUUAAUUGGAUUCAACACCGUAAAACUCACCAGGGAAGACUGUUACAUGAAGGCCGAGAUGAAGACUCUGCUAGAUUUUCAG